GUGUCGGUAGUGCAGCGGUUCAGCACGCGCUCCUGCAUAGAGCGAAAUCUGGGUUCGAAUCCCGGUUGACAUA